rnacentral:rRNA from 1 species
UACGAGGGGGGCAAGCGUUGUUCGGAAUUAUUGGGCGUAAAGGGCGCGUAGGCGGUGCGGUAAGUCACCUGUGAAAACUCUGGGCUCAACUCAGAGCCUGCAGGCGAAACUGCCGUGCUGGAGUGUGGGAGAGGUGCGUGGAAUUCCCCGGUGUAGCGGUGAAAUGCGUAGAUAUCGGGAGGAACACCUGUGGCGAAAGCGGCGCACUGGACCACAACUGACGCUGAGGCGCGAAAGCUAGGGGAGCAAACAGG